rnacentral:tRNA from 1 species
GCCGGUGUGGCUCAAUGGAUAGAGUGUCGGCCUGCGAACUGAAAGUUCCCAGGUUCGAUUCCGGUCAAGGGCA